rnacentral:rRNA from 1 species
UACGGGUAGGGUGCGAUGCGUUGUCCGGAAUUAUUGGGAGCGUAAAGAGCUCGUAGGCGGCUUGUUGCGAUCCUGCCGUUGAAAAGUUCAACAGCUCAACUGUGGACGUGCGGUGGAUUACGGGGCAGGCUUGAGUUCGGUAGGGGAGACUGGGAAUUCCUGGUGUAGCGGUGAAAUGGCGCCAGAUAGUCAGGAGGAACACCCGGUGGCGAAGGCGGGUCUCUGGGACCGUAAGCUGACGACGUGAGGCGACCGAAAGCCAGGGGAGCAA